rnacentral:misc_RNA from 1 species
GAAAAAGCUCAAAUACAAAGCAAGCAUGAAGAAUCUCUACCUGAUUUUGUCACUUAUACUCAUCUCCACCGCCACAACCGUCGCCGUUGACUUGGAAUCAUCACCUCCGACUGUCUGCAUAAUCGGCAGUGGAAUCGGUGGGUCCUCAGUGGCGCACUUCCUCCGGAACUAUUCCAGCUCCGUAAUCGGCAAAAUCAGAAUCUUCGAGAGGAAUGUUUACGUCGGAGGACGCACGGCGACGGUGACUCUCGCCGGGGAGACAUUCGAAGCU